UCAUCGGUAAACACAGCCAGUCAUGGAUACGGAGGCAGCUCUGUUUGCCCUGGAGAUAAAGCCACCACCGUGGCAGGGCCUCCGUGGGGAGGGGGAAGGGGGUCAGCCAAGGGGCAUUCAACUCUGUGUGAUGCUGUGUCUGAGAGGGACCCCGACGUCUCAGGCUGGGAGAAAUCCUCAGGAGUCAUCCUGUCACUUCGUCGCAGUAAUCCAGGGGCAGAAGGCUGGGCCGUGCCCGUGGCGGGUUGCCGGGGGGGGAACGCCCUGAGGCCGCCGUUCCUGCAGCCUGCUUCACUGCUCUGAAGCUGAGCUCUGAUGUCCCCUGGGUGGCCAUUCUUCAAAGUCCAACCAGAGUUGCCCUGAUCCUCUGCUCCUGUCUAUACUUCUCAGCUCGGAGCCAGGGCCGUCGAGGGCAGGUUGGGCUCCAGCUCCAAGCCUGCCUCCAUCACUGUGGAGAGUGUGAGCCAAGCUUCUCCCCCGGGAAACCGGCGCCUCACUGGGACUGGGGUUUGCUGUUUGCUUCAGUCUGCAUGCUUGUUGGUGAAGACACGCAUCGAUCCCCCAGCUGGUGUGGGAGGUGACCUGGGCCAGGCUGCUGAGGCGUAAGAUCUGUAACAGGCCCUGUGACCCCGUCUUUUUUUUUUUUUUUUUUUAAAUUAGACUUGAUUUACAAUGUCCUGUCAACUUCUGCUCUGCAGCAAAGUGACCAAGUUAUAAUAUCUGUGAUCCUGUUUUUAUUUGAGGAUUUGCUAUUUUGUUCAUCACAGAGCUUUUUUUGGGGGGGGGGGCAUUUACCUUGACUUCCCAAAAUGCUGCAUUAUGAAUCUGGAUCCCCCAGUCGUUUGGUGCUCCCUUCAGUUUGGGGCUGUCAGCUGCCGCCCUGGCUGCACCUGCCCAGUCCUGCUCUUCCUGAACGAAUCAGAAAGUCAUGGAUGGACAGGAGACGGAUCGCCCCAGGCAGCUCGGCCAUGGAGUCCCAGCCUCCGCUACAGGGAGGGUCAAAAGCCCUGCCUGGCUCUGUGGUUUGCAGAAACUUGAAGCCUCUUAAACUUUCCUGAGUGCCAGCCGCCUCCUGGGAGCCAGGAGGGCCAGGGAUGUGCCGGCUGCCCUGACUGCCUGCUCUGCCCACUAGAUGGCGCCCUGGCUGCACAGGUGAGCAUGGCGCCCCCUCCCCCGCUCCCCGUCCUGAGCCAGCCCAGCUCCUGGGAAGUGCGUGCCAGUUUGGAGAACACCUGUUCAGUUGAUCCCCGCUGCAGGCCUCAAGCACAGAGGACACUGAGCCACGGAGAGGACAAGGAUAUAAAGGUUGCAGGAAAGAGAACAGGAGUUUUCCCAACAGGACCAGCUACUCUGUAAGACUCCCGAGCCCGUGGUUUUCCUGGAAUUACCGAAGCAGAUUUCUCAGAUCUCAAGACAGCCUUCUCUUGGCCACAUACCUCCAAGCACCUGUUUUAUCAGUCUGUCAUUGUUGGUUCUUUGAAUCAAUUCCUUUUUUAAACUUAAACUUAUUUAAAGAAGCGGUCUAAAUCACCUAUAGCAGGUGUGAAUUCAGAGGUUUGCUAUUUUCUUCAUGCACAUAAAAAUCAAUGCGUAAGUAUUCAACUGAAAAAUGAUACGGUGUGUUUCCCUAAAGGCACCUCUUUCACCCCAUGGCGUAUGUGAGGGGUUGUCUCCUUUGGAAGCUGCCGGUGGGUCUUGAAAACAAGUAGAUAGACUAGGCGGGAGGGAGGAGAGGCCCUGGCAUCAGUGGAGAUACGGCAAAGGAUUCAGCAGGGGGGGAAGCGCCCCCCCCCCCCAGUUAAAGAGAAAAGGAAGCGAAGGGGGGGAUAUUUUUGUAGAAAACACGCAAUGGAGUCCUAGAGUGUCGUUGCUCAAUAGAGCCUUUGAGAAAGAGCUUAAGAGAGCGAGCUGGGAUGAAAACACUGAUGCAACGUGGUUGCCACCCGCAUCCAAUCCCCCUCCAGCCUGGGCCAGUUCCCAAGAGCACAUCUUACACCUGACUCUUAGAACCGCGCUUCUCAGCUGCGGUCCCCGGGCCACCAGCAUCAGCACCACCUGGGCGCUUGUGAGAGAUGCAGACCUGGGGCCCCAGCUCCAGCCCUGGAGGGAGUCCAAUGGAUGCUAAUGUUUGAGAACCACUGUUCUAGAAGCCCUGUUAUGCAGGAAACAGGAGGCCAUCAGCAAGGAGACCUGAGUUCUCGGCCAGAUCUGUAGCCAACUACCUGUGACCUGAGGUCAAAUCGUCAAAUCGCUCACAGCCUCGGGUGCCUCAUCCGCAAAGUGAGGAGAUGCCUGGUGCGGAGCGGAGGUUCCCAGCCCAGAGGUACAGUGGAGUCACCUGGGCAGCUUCUCGAAUAGGAUGCCGCUACGCCAGAGAGCCGAGAGUCAGCCCUCAACAUCCCCCAUUCCACAGCUUUGUAUUCAUCCCACCUCGGAUUUACAUAGUAUUUACAACUAUUUACAUAACAUUUACAUUGUAUUUACAACUAUUUACAUAACAUUUACAUAUAUUAGGCAUUAUACGAAAUCUAGGGAUGAUUUCAAGUAUAGGGGAGGAUGGCUGUACAUUUUAUGUCAAAAAAAAAACCAUUUCAUAUAAGGGACUUGGACAUUCUUAGACUUUGGGGUCUUCCAUGGUCCUCAGACACUGAGGGGUGACUGUACUUGAUAAUUCUGUUGGUACUAAGUUCUAGAACAGGCAAAACCUACAAUGGGAAUACGCAGAACAGUGGCGGUCUGGAAGAGAUGGGUGGGCUGACCCCGAAGAGGCAGGAAGGAAUUGCUGGGGUGAUGGUACUGUUUGGUCUCCAUGGGAAUGUGGGUUACUCAGGUGUAUGCAUGUGUCAAAACCUUGCUGACCGGUGUGCUUAAGGCUUGUGCGUUUUAUUGCAAACAUAUUUUACCCCAAAAGCAAAAACAAAGGGGGGUAAACCAAUGCUGGACUCGUUUAGAGUAUGUGCUGAAGUGUUUAAGGGUGAAAGGCACCGAUGUCCCAAUUCAUUUUGAAAUAUUUGAACUGUAAGACGGCUUGUUGACUGGAUAGAGAGAAGCGGCUCUAGUAGGAUAGGUAGGUGACAACGUGCGUAAAAGCAGAUGUCAGUUGGAGAAUCCAGGGGGUGGGUGUGUGGGCCUUCACUGCAAAGUUCUAUCACGUUUUCGUUAAGUUCGAACGUCGUUAUCCCAACACGUUGGAGGCAACCUCUGAUGCCGCUGCUCUACACUCACACCUGUGAAAGCAGGCUCCUUCCUAAGCUAAAACCUCCACCAGCGGAGGCAGCUGCCCUUCUUCCUCCGGAGUAACCGGUUUUAAGCCUUCCAUGCACAGACGCUCCAGGGAGGGGGGACACCGGGGGAGGGAGUGGUUUUUACUGCUGGUGAUGGAUUUAUUGGGCUGGAAUCUUCCCACAGGUAACGAUGAUGGCAAAGGCUUGGGGGGCGGGCACCGGGGCCCCCUUGCUGUUAGACCCCUUCACCCCUCAGCUGUAGGCAUUCGGCCAUCAGUUCUCCGGGUGCGAGUUCGGGGCUCGGCUCUACACACCUGCUACCUGCCUCUGCCACCAGGGGGAGCUGUCACCCCGGCAGUUGCCUGAAACUCCCCCAAUACUCAGCCCACAGCUUGGAAUGCUUCUCUGUGCCCGCUCUUCCAGGAGGCCCGCUUCCCCUGUUCAUCCAUCGCCUCCCUCAGAGGACGGAGCCUCCUGGCCUUGGGCCGUCCUUGCGGAUCUGCGCAGUCUCUGACGCGCACACCGCCCCCGCCCCAUCCUUCGCACCCUUGCCGGGGCACCGUGAGGUCCACGGUCAGCGAGCACUCACCUCUCCUGGGCAUGGUCUCCUGGCUCUGCCGCACUGCCCACCUCGCCCGGUGCCCUCUCUCCAGGAUGUUCUCUCUCUUGUACACCCCGCAGGCUGCAGCAUCCUGCAGGGGGCAGCAUGCCCUGGGCAUCAAAGGCGUUCCUCUUCCUCCCUGCUCAAAACCCAGCCUAUCAGCUGCUGGCCGUCCCUGGCCGUCUCAUUUCGAGGACUCCCUCCCUCCUCCUGCUUUAUUCUCCGGGACCCACGUGACGGACCAUCCUACCCCCGGGUUUCUCGGUGGCUUGACCUCCGGGGAACUUCCCAGCACUCUGGCCCAGCCAACCCUUCCUCUGCUCACAGCCGGGACCCUGCCUUCAUCGGGAGGAGGGGUCCGGGCCCCCCCUGCCCCACUGGCUCUAGCACUUCUGCAGGCCUCACCCAGAGCUCCCAUCGUCUCACGGAACCACUCCCUUCCUCCCGCAUGUCCUUGGUCUAAGCAGCUCCCUUGUCUCUCUCCUGCCAUGUCCCCCACUGAGCACAUCGCAGCGUGCUCCACGCACACUGGCUGAAGUCCCCUGCACCCAGGUGGCCCAGCAUCCCCCCUGCUUUCCCCAUGGG